CCUAACUGCCACUGUCUUCAGUUCUCCGGUUUGGAAUUAGCAUUUCACCAUUAUAUGUGGGGAAUUGAAGAAGGCUUUAGUCGAAAUCGAAGGGGGUUAGAAUAAAGGAUUGUUUUUGAUUUGCCCAACAAUUCCAGUCUCGUAACCAGGAGUCAUCUCAAGGGGAAGAAACUUAUACGAGUAAAGAAGGUUAAUGGAAAUGGGAGAGAUGAAUAGAGAUUGAAGAUUAUAAGUAACAACAGCAAGAAGACAAGAUAAUGAGAUUUGGAUCUCCACGAAGAUGGCAAAUUGGAGUCUAAAAGAAGUGGAGAAUGCAACGAAGAAAAUUUACAACCCACCACCGUGUAUAUAGUCAUAGACUCAUAGUCAAUCAUGAACUCUAAACAGGCAAAGAAAAGAUCUUUACAGUUCCUGAUAACGCAAGCAAAAAGUAAAGAUGCAGCACAAUCCACCAUAUAGAUAACUCAUAUUGGAGCAUCUGCACUUAGCCUGGACAUCUUCAUGGUUGCAGAGAUUGUCCAUCACUUCUUGGCAAACGCUAGUUAAAUUCGAUAAGGC